GCUCACGGAGCUGCUUGGAACAGCGCCGGCUGCGCGGCAUCGUCUGUUACCCUUCUGCCGGCAGAUGCAAGCCUCGGGCGAGAAAGGCCACAGCUCCCCACCUGUGAAAACCAACUCUUGUUUCCAUGAAAAGAGUUUUUAAAAAAGAUCAGCAACUGAGAACAGAAGGGAGUUUCCGAGCUCUGAGAAGUUUCUCUACAGCUUCUGAGGUGAGGAUCCACCCUGCAUGAAGGAUACUGGGCCACUCAGGCCUUCUCCCACUCCGCGGCAGGAUCCUAGCGCCUGAGGACACUGGAGCCAUUCCAGCAACAAAUGGUAAGCAAGAUGGCCAGGAAGGAUGACUGACUCCCUCGCAGGCUCGGCCAGGCUUCAGGCCCUAUCUUUGGAUCUGUGUUCAUCAUGGUGAUUGUCAACUGCAAGCCUGAUUUGAUAGCCUUUCCUCUCGUGGUAUUACUCGGAGGUAAUGUGCAAGCAGAGAGACCCGGAUGCAAAUUCUGCUCUAUAGUUGACCAUUAUCUUACAAUGAUCUCAGUUUCCCAUAACACCAAUUUCUAUGUUUUCCAUUUAUAAACACCUGUAAUUCGCCUUGCUUGGCUUUGUGAUGUGUGAGUACAAUACAUUUGAUGUUAUAAUGGAAAUGUGCACUAAUAAAAUGCACCUUUAGCCAUU
rnacentral:lncRNA from 1 species